CAGUCACACCUGUUAAGUUCCAGCCAGCCAGGAUGGAAAAAAGGCCAUAAGCUUGUCCAUCCAGCUGCCCAGUGGGCUCCUGCAGCCACCAGCAUCACCAUGAGGUGCAAGGCUGGCCUUGGGCCCAAGGACAGCUGAUGCCAUCAAGGGACCGGUGAGCCCCGGCACCACUCUGAGCCUGUCCUCACCUUCCGCAGUCUGCCAUCCAGGGCCACACAGGCUCCCCCACUUACAGGGCAGGUGGCAAGAGACACAGACCUGGACGAGAACCACCGCUUAAAAUGGGCCGCAGUGCUCGCCCAGCUCGGGGGUGCACAGCGGGCUGAAACGUACGUCCUCCCAGCCCAGAGCCUCCCUCCUGCGCUUGCUCCUCAGAGCUCCCAGCACCUGGGACCCAGAGCCUGGCCGAGGACCUCAUGGAGCGUGCACCCACCCUCUGAUCCGAAUCUGGGCACUGGCUCCAUUCUUGUCCCCACACCUGGCCCCCCGAUGCCGCCAAGAGACUAGAAACCCCUCACACGGGUACGUGGGAGCCAGCUGAAGUUGCAGGGUCCCUGAGCCCCACUGCACCCCACGUCAGCUCGUCCCUGGUGGGCGUGGGAGCAACACCCCUCUCGCCCUACGCAGAAGGCAGGCUCAGGCUGGCUCACUCACCCAUUCACUCCUUUACCCCUCCUACCAGAGCCGGAGCCCCUCUGCACGGGGCCUGGCCAGCAACAGUGUCCUGAAAUGCAGCAGCCCAUCCUGUGGGCCCAUGCUGACAGCGCAGCUCUACAGAGACCCUGAGGUGCCAGGAUGGGGUCUUCUGGGAAACAGAGUGGUUUGGGCAGGCAGAGGGGACAGGAAGGACCUCUGGGAGGCGAGGGCCCAGCACCGGACAAGAGCAGACCCACUGCCAGCAGACCCUCCAGCAGCCAGCCCCUGGGCGCUAGCUGCACGCAGAGGUGGCCAGGGCACCUGGGCCUGUGCUGUCCCGUGCGGGGGCCGAAUGCCACGGCUGCUCUGAGCCAAGAUGACAGUGCAGACGUGACGGGCAGAAAAGGAAGAACGUAAAAGGGCAUUUGUGUUUCCUCUUGAUUACAUGUUGGAAUUUGUGAUACACUGGGUUAAAUAAAAUUCAUAUCACCAUUUUUUGUUUGUUUUUAAGGUGGCUACUAGAAAAUUUAAAAUCUCAUGUGGGGUUCACAUCUAGCUGACCUUCCUACUGGGCAGUGCCCCUCCUCUCCACCCCCUGGGCCAGGGAGGCUACAGGAGGGGCUUAGUGGGGAGCAAGUAUGGUGCCCCACCCAGGAAUAACAGGGACACCCCUCGUCAGGUGUCAGUGGAGGCCGAGUGGGGAACCUGGAUGUCACCCCACUUGGUAUCUGCUCCCCAUGCCCGCCUACUGGAGUGGUGUCAGAGGAACCAGCUGAAACAGGUUUAAGUAAGGUCCAGACUCUCAGCGCAUAGCAAGCCAAAACGUCCAGGUUUCAAUAGAAAAUGACUCAUCACACCAAGAACAACACAGACCUCAAACUGAAUGGAAAAAAGACAACCAAUGCCAACGUGAACGCACAGGUGUCAGAGUCAUCUGACAAAGAUUUUAAAGUAGCAUCAUAACUAUGAUUCAACAAACAAUUACAAAUGGCCUUGACACAAUGGAGACAUAGCAAAUCUCAUCAAAGAAAAACAGGAUAUAAUGGGAAUUUCUGAACUGAAAAAUACAAUAACGGAAAUAAAAAACUCAGCGCACGUGCACAACAGAAUGGAGGGCACAGAGCAAAGAAUCAGCGAACUGAAGACAGAACAGAAAACAACCAAUCUGAGCAACAGAGAGAAAACAGGCUUCAAAAAAUGAUGGGCACCCCCAGGACCUGUGGGAAUACAACAAAUGACCUAACACUCAUGGAAUCAGGCUGUAGAAGGAGACAGGAAAGGACGCAAAGAAAUAAGGGUUGGAAACAUCCCAAAUUUGCAAAAAAAAACAAAAAAACAAACAAAAAAACAAACCCACAAGCCUAUAGGUUCGAAAAAUUGAGUGAACCCCAAAUAUAAAAAUCCAAAGAAAUCCACCAAAAAUUACACCAUAAGCAAAGCUAAAGACAGGGCCGGCCGAGUGGCACGUUGGUUAAGAACUGGCUUGGGACGCCAGAGGACCCCGGUUCGGAU